rnacentral:misc_RNA from 1 species
GAUGAAGAACGCAGCGAAAUGCGAUAAGUAAUGUGAAUUGCAGAAUUCAGUGAAUCAUCGAAUCUUUGAACGCACAUUGCGCCCACCAGUAUUCUGGCGGGCAUGCCUGUUCGAGCGUCAUUACAACCCUCAGGCCCCCGGGCCUGGCGUUGGGGAUCGGCGGAGCCCCCCGUGGGCACACGCCGUCCCCCAAAUGCAGUGGCGGUCCCGCCGCAGCUUCCAUCGCGUAGUAGCUAACACCUCGCGACUGGAGAGCGGCGCGGCCACGCCGUAAAACACCCAACUCUUCUGAAGUUGACCUCGAAUCAGGUAGGAAUACCCGCUGAACUUAAGCAUAUCAAUAAGCGGAGGA